GAACAAUACAUUGGAAAGAUGUUAGAGAUAAAAGAAGUUAUGGAUAAUAUACUUGCUCAACAGAAAACAGAAAGGGAUGAUCUAGCUAAAAAAUACAGGGUGUCCAUGGAGUCAUUUAAGCAUGGGGCCUUGAGAGAACAACUGGCUAACCUGGCCACGAGACAAAAGAGUCUUUUAGUUGUAGCAAAGAAACAGAAAAAGAUAAGACUGAAAAUUCAAAACUAUAAGAAUGCUACAGCAGUAUCUGGUGUUGGUUUAAGAAAGCUGCCAUGUAACUCAGACAUCAGUAGUGACAAGAAGAGCCAGGAGCCUCCUACUAUGGGAGACUCAGCACAUGCCCAGCCAGGCUUACUCGCUCCUGUCAGUCUGGCUUACGGAAGCAUGCAAGAAAUACCAUUGUCUCCUGAAAUAGAGAGUGAGAGCCAGAAGAUUAACAUUUGUUUAAAUGCAGAGGCAAUAAGAAGAGAAGAAUUCUCUGGAAAUGACAUAAAUUCCAAACAAAAUGUCCAGGAUUGUACCUUGGGUGGGUUAUUAAGAUCUAAACCCACAGAUGACGCUGAGAAAAUUGCAUCAUCAUCCCAACCUGCUGCUCUUACUCCUCACGCAGAAAACUCACAAGCAGAAGCUACAGUCAAAGGCUGUGGAUUUGAUAGUUCUGCACUAACUGGCACUAUAAAUAUUUCAGAAGAUAAAAGCAUAUUUUCCCCAAAUGGUGCCUGUCUAGCAGCUGAUCCUCACAGUCAGAAGCUUUCCCGCUGUAAUCCGAAAAGAAGAAACAAGAAGACAGCUUCCCAGCAACCAUCUGCGGGAGCUGCAGAGCCUCUGCCGCAGGCCCCUGCUGUCUUAGACACCUACACUGUGCAUCAGACACUGCCAUGUCUUAGAGACUCCGCUGCUGCUGCUUCACACACAGAUAGCACUCAGAGCUCUCUUUCCUCUGCGUCUGCCCAUCAACAUCCUACUAAAACCGUUCCACACCGCAACACAACUCCCAGAAAGAAAGCUGUGCAGCUGAAAGACUUGAUAUUACGUGGAAGAAUUAACCCAGGAAAUAACAUUCUCGAAUUUAAAACACAGGAGACGACCCACAGAGCCAGUGUUUUACCGAGUGGUAAACUUAAGGGAGAAAAUGGUCAGAUUUACCAGAACCCAGUCACCUGGCUCAAGGAGCUCCUGGGAGGUGGCAGUUAUGUGACCUGGAAUUAUGCUUGGAAUACGGUAACAUACCUUGGAAGGGAACUUGUGAAGUGUGUUUCUGAAGAGGCGCCCAUGUCUGCAGAACUGAACCCACCUCAGCUCCACCAGCCUCACCUCUCAGGUACUUCCAGAGAGUCGAUGCAAACCAUCCCUCAUUAUCUACAGAUAAAAGAGAUACUUCAAAUCAGCAAGCAGGAGCUUCUGCCAUGCCAUGUAAUGGAGCAGCAUUGGAAGUUCUAUGUGGGACGCUCACAUUCUGAAGCUCUGCUUUCUUGGUAGCUUAGUUAGCAUUUGUUCUUAUGAUCUCCAGCUCUAAAUCUCCAGCUCGCGUGGUGGGCAUACCUUAACCUGCACUAUAACUGCUAUGGUCAGUUUAGUGCUUUUUCGCCUCUGAAAUCAAGGCAUUUCUGAAUAAAACCAUGUUGAGUCUCC
rnacentral:lncRNA from 1 species